AUUGAACGCUGGCGGCAUGCUUUACACAUGCAAGUCGGACGGCAGCGGGGUAGUGCUUGCACUACUGCCGGCGAGUGGCGAACGGGUGAGUAAUAUAUUGGAACGUACCGAGUAAUGGGGGAUAACCAAUCGAAAGAUUGGCUAAUACCGCAUACGCUCUGAGGAGGAAAGCAGGGGACCUUCGGGCCUUGCGUUAUUCGAGCGGCCAAUAUCUGAUUAGCUAGUUGGUGGGGUAAGGGCCUACCAAGGCGACGACCAGUAGCGGGUCUGAGAGGAUGAUCCGCCACACUGGGACUGAGACACGGCCCAGACUCCUACGGGAGGCAGCAGUGGGGAAUUUUGGACAAUGGGCGCAAGCCUGAUCCAGCCAUGCCGCGUGUCUGAAGAAGGCCUUCGGGUUGUAAAGGACUUUUGUUAGGGAAGAAAAAGGAGCGGUUAAUACCCGUUUCUGCUGACGGUACCUAAAGAAUAAGCACCGGCUAACUACGUG
rnacentral:rRNA from 1 species